AUGUUUUAUUACCCAGUUACUAAAAUUAGUUUAUGGAAAUUGCGUUUAUCAAUUUUUCUUGAAAAUGGCAACGUUAGUGAUAAAUAUAGUGCGAAAGGCAACAAAGUGGAUAUGGAAGGAGGAAAUGUAGACAGAUGUUGUCUCUUGUUAUUAUUCACAUGAGUGUGGUUGGCAAUAGUGGCGAAAUUGUGGGAAUUUUGAGACAUUUUUGUGCAGUGUAUAAAUAUUUAUAUUUUAAAUUACAUGCUUUAUAAGUUCGUAUAUUUUUAAAUUGAACAAUAUUCAUUAUACGGUUUUAUAUUUAUAUAUAAUAAAGUAAAAAGGCAGCUUAUUAGAUUAAUUUAAUUUCAUAACACAUCCAUUGUGAAUGGGUAUGUUUACAUAUGUAAAAAUACCGCGAGUUUUUGCAGCUAACUUCAUGAUAAAUAAAUGUUCUACUAAAAUAAAUGUAUGACUGCUAAAGUUAAAUUUUGUUUUAAAAUUACAUUUAAAAAUAAUUUAAAAGAAGCAUAGGCGCAAAUGAAAUGAGAGAUUUUUCCUCAUGGAGAGAUAGCAAUGGUAUACAAAAAUGAUGUUGCAAGAACGUCUUGGCCUUGUUUCCAAUUGGGUUAUAGUUGAUGUGUUAGGCGAAAUUAAAGGACAAAAAUGGUCAAUUUUGAAAACGAACCCACUCCCAAUGCAUCUUCAUAAUAGUCCAUAGUCGAUAAUUUAAGAAAGUAACCUAGCUAACUAGCAAAGUUGGUUUAUACAAACCUGUAGCAUUUGGAUAAAAGAAAUUUAAAGAAAAAUGGUUGUCCCAUAGUUUAUUAAGCACACUACAUCCACUCAAAGUGUAACUAAAAACUGUUUCAAAAGUAAAAGACCAGCUCCUAGUAUGUUAUUAGAU